ACCAAGGUUUUAUGAGUUUCUGAAGUAGUUGUUUUGUUUUGUUUUUUUGAAGUUUUUUAGUUGAACUCAAAAUUUUGUUUUUUAUUUCCACUUUUCUUUUCCUUUUUAUUUCUUAUAAUUAUUAUAUAUUACUAUCAUUAAUAUAUAUGUCUUUGUAAAUUCUUUACACUUUUACGUAUCGCACAACCAUGGCGUAAUUUCAGUGCAAUCAAAUUGACUGGGAGUGGGUGUUUAAAUCAAAUUAUGUUUCCA
rnacentral:lncRNA from 1 species